rnacentral:rRNA from 2 species
UAGGGAAUAUUGCGCAAUGGGGGAAACCCUGACGCAGCAACGCCGCGUGAGUGAUGAAGGCCUUAGGGUCGUAAAGCUCUGUUAUAAGGGAAUAAAAAAAUGAAGGUACCUUAUCAGAAAGGACCGGCCAACUUCGUGCCAGCAGCCGCGGUAAUACGAGGGGUCCUAGCGUUGUUCGGAAUCAUUGGGCGUAAAGCGCAUGUAGGCGGUCCAAUAAGUCAGAUGUGAAAGCCCGGGGCUUAACCCCGGAAGUGCAUUUGAAACUAUUGGACUUGAAUGUGAUAGAGGGUAGUGGAAUUCCUGGUGUAGUGGUGAAAUACGUAGAUAUCAGGAGGAACAUCAGCGGCGAAGGCGGCUACCUGGAUCAAGAUUGACGCUGAGAUGCGAAAGCGUGGGGAGCAAACAGG